rnacentral:piRNA from 1 species
UGAGAUUAAAGGCGUGCGCCACCACUGU